AAGUACAGAGCGAAGGGAGUUGAGCCGGCCGCGGAGCAACAUCAAUUAGAAUGUUUGUCUCCUGGACGACAAACAACAAAGCGGUAAACACAAGGAAUGAUCCGAGUCGUCUGCUCCCUACCAGCAGACGAUACAUAGUCGAGGCAGCGAGAGGUGUACCACGUUCGCCGUCAAGUUCUUAAGCAAGUCCUAGUUUGGAAAAAAUCUUCAUUCGUUCUUCAAGAUGGGUUGUAACGGCAGCAAAAGUACCCAGACGCAGGCGUCGACUGGACAGCAGCCCACGAGCGAUACGAAGCAGGAGCAGACGACACAGGAGCAGACGAACAACGCAUCUGGGGGCGAACAAACUGAACAAACUGCCCAACAAGAGAAUACCGAACAAGAGGCAUAAAAUUAUCGAUUAGUUUCUCCAACUGCUGAUGCCAUUACGAAGGAGUAAACGCAGCCUCCGGAAUGGACUCAGUAUGUUGUCAAUUAUCUGUGAUAUAUGACGGACUUCUCAGCAUUACUGGAAUCAAAGAGGACUCUUUUGCUAAAUGACGUCAUCUGUUCCAUUCCUCGCUCAAGACACCGUCCCAUCCAUUGCUCUAUCCCUCAACAUAAUCAAGCAAUAACUCUCUCCUUCAACUCCUGAUGUCAAAGCACAAAUUUGAAAAUUAAAUGCCAAGCCACCUUGGAGCAAUAUACACUGAGACCACCCCCACAGGCAGGGUCUACAAGAUGGGUGCAAUACAUAACGCUAGGCUGGUUCUUGCAAUAACGAACCACAGGCACCCGACUCCAUUAUAAUAUAUUUAUUCAUUUUCUAUAACAAACUCAUAUUUUCACUUUUAUAAGAAUAGAGUAAUUAGAAAAAAAUAUCUUUAACUAUCUUAUUCGAUAAUAUGCUACAUAUUUGUUUCAAUCUUGUUUAUCUCUAUAAUGGUGUACGUAUGAGGACUUGUAGAAAACUUAUAUAUUAUUAAGGAGUCAGAUGCACGUGUAACAAGUUGUCAACUCAGAAUAUAUCAAAGUUUUGUGACAUUCAAAAGUCUUUAUUUAGUUAAAAUAACUUUAGUUACUGUUGCUGUUAUUCAAAAGAUUCCGUUGUAGUGAGAUUCUGUAUAUCCGAAUGCGAUAUAUUCAGAGUUGACGGUAAUUUCCCUGACCUGAACCCGUUUAUCUGUUGGUCCUAGUUCGACCAGUGGCUCAACGCUGUUCCGGCUACUGGGAAUGUUAGAGUAGUUAGACGCGUAUUGUAAGUCAACAGGUAAUAUUGUGUUUAAUGAUUUAUGUUCCUCGUAUUAUCUGAAAUAUGAUAUAUCAAUAUCCGUCCAUAUAUGUGUGAUUCCCUCCGACAGCAUUGAACUAUAUUUCAGCCACAGAGCAUUCACGUUUACAAACAAAAAUAAUAAAUUGUAAUCGUCCAAAUUUCACUUGAAAUUGUUUGUACAUUGAACCAAGGAAGUCAUUAUUGCUUCAGGCACAUCUAACUAGUCCAAACGAAUGGAUCUCUAAUUUCGGACGAAUGUAUUCCACUUGUAAUACAACAGUAUUAGUACAUGCACUACAUUCGUUAUUCGACAACAUGUCCUCAUUAUAUUUUUGCAAUUUCAGUUAGAUUGCAUCUGUAUGGUUUCCUUGACAACGCGUAAUAUUUAAACUUCGUGUAUUGUCAACCCCUUAAGUAUUGUUGUUAAUCUUUUUAUUAAAAUACUUUUAUGAUAUAUAAUUGAGCAUACAAACAGCAUUAUUGUAAGACAAAACGUCUAAUGGCAAAUAUAGUUUCACGAUGAAGGUUUAUACUGCGUCUUUAUAGAUAUUGCCAGAAUGCUGUGACAAACUAUUACUUUCGUAUACUUCAAUAUAUUCCUGUGAAACAUGUCAAUACAAGCUACGUGAUGGCAAGGACAUUUCGUUCAAUUUGUAUAUUAUCUUUUUAACUCCAAAAUAAAAUAUGGCGAUCUA